GCAGGGUGAGUCGACCCCUAAGGCGAGGCUGAAAAGCGUAGUCGAUGGGAAACAGGUUAAUAUUCCUGUACUUGGUGUUACUGCGAAGGGGGGACGGAGAAGGCUAGGCUAGCCGGGCGACGGUUGUCCCGGUUUAAGCGUGUAGGGGGUGUGACCUGGUAAAUCCGGUUACAUAUCAACCCUGAGGCGUGAUGACGAUGCACUACGGUGCAGAAGUAGUUGAUGCCCUGCUUCCAGGAAAAGCCUCUAAGCUCUAGGUAACAUUGAAUCGUACCCCAAACCGACACAGGUGGUCAGGUAGAGAAUACCAAGGCGCUUGAGAGAACUCGGGUGAAGGAACUAGGCAAAAUGGUGCCGUAACUUCGGGAGAAGGCACGCUGGCAUGUAGGUGAAGUCCCUUGCGGAUGGAGCUGAAGCCAGUCGAA
rnacentral:rRNA from 1 species